UUAAACGGGGGAAGGCCCUUACCAAGUCUUGACAUCCCGAUGACCAACUAUGUAAUGUAGUCUCUCUUCGGAGCAUCGGUGACAGGUGGUGCAUGGUUGUCGUCAGCUCGUGUCGUGAGAUGUUGGGUUAAGUCCCGCAACGAGCGCAACCCUUGUCCUUAGUAGCCAGCAGUUCGGCUGGGCACUCUAGGGAGACUGCCAGGGUUAACCUGGAGGAAGGUGGGGAUGACGUCAAAUCAUCAUGCCCCUUAUGACUUGGGCUACACACGUGCUACAAUGGCGUAAACAAAGGGACGCGAAGUCGUGAGGCCAAGCAAAUCUCAAAAAUAACGUCUCAGUUCGGAUUGUAGUCUGCAACUCGACUACAUGAAGCUGGAAUCGCUAGUAAUCGCGGAUCAAAAUGCCGCGGUGAAUACGUUCCCGGGUUUG
rnacentral:rRNA from 1 species